rnacentral:rRNA from 1 species
GACGAACGCUGGCGGCGUGCUUAACACAUGCAAGUCGAACGGACCCUUUGGGGUUAGUGGCGAACGGGUGAGUAACACGUGGGUGAUCUGCCCUGCACUUUGGGAUAAGCCUGGGAAACUGGGUCUAAUACCGGAUAGGACUACGCACUGCAUGGUGUGUGGUGGAAAGCUUUUGCGGUGUGGGAUGGGCCCGCGGCCUAUCAGCUUGUUGGUGGGGUGGUGGCCUACCAAGGCGACGACGGGUAGCCGGCCUGAGAGGGUGACCGGCCACACUGGGACUGAGAUACGGCCCAGACUCCUACGGGAGGCAGCAGUGGGGAAUAUUGCACAAUGGGCGCAAGCCUGAUGCAGCGACGCCGCGUGAGGGAUGACGGCCUUCGGGUUGUAAACCUCUUUCGCCAGGGACGAAGCGCAAGUGACGGUACCUGGAGAAGAAGGACCGGCCAACUACGUGCCAGCAGCCGCGGUAAUACGUAGGGUCCGAGCGUUGUCCGGAAUUACUGGGCGUAAAGAGCUCGUAGGUGGUUUGUCGCGUUGUUCGUGAAAACUCACAGCUUAACUGUGGGCGUGCGGGCGAUACGGGCAGACUGGAGUACUGCAGGGGAGACUGGAAUUCCUGGUGUAGCGGUGGAAUGCGCAGAUAUCAGGAGGAACACCGGUGGCGAAGGCGGGUCUCUGGGCAGUAACUGACGCUGAGGAGCGAAAGCGUGGGGAGCGAACAGGAUUAGAUACCCUGGUAGUCCACGCCGUAAACGGUGGGUACUAGGUGUGGGUUUCCUUCCUUGGGAUCCGUGCCGUAGCUAACGCAUUAAGUACCCCGCCUGGGGAGUACGGCCGCAAGGCUAAAACUCAAAGGAAUUGACGGGGGCCCGCACAAGCGGCGGAGCAUGUGGAUUAAUUCGAUGCAACGCGAAGAACCUUACCUGGGUUUGACAUGCACAGGACGCCGGCAGAGAUGUCGGUUCCCUUGUGGCCUGUGUGCAGGUGGUGCAUGGCUGUCGUCAGCUCGUGUCGUGAGAUGUUGGGUUAAGUCCCGCAACGAGCGCAACCCUUGUCUCAUGUUGCCAGCACGUUAUGGUGGGGACUCGUGAGAGACUGCCGGGGUCAACUCGGAGGAAGGUGGGGAUGACGUCAAGUCAUCAUGCCCCUUAUGUCCAGGGCUUCACACAUGCUACAAUGGCCGGUACAAAGGGCUGCGAUGCCGUGAGGUGGAGCGAAUCCUUUCAAAGCCGGUCUCAGUUCGGAUCGGGGUCUGCAACUCGACCCCGUGAAGUCGGAGUCGCUAGUAAUCGCAGAUCAGCAACGCUGCGGUGAAUACGUUCCCGGGCCU